GAUGAACGCUGGCGGCGUGCUUAACACAUGCAAGUCGAACGGAACGGCCCAAGCUUGCUUGGGUACUCGAGUGGCGAACGGGUGAGUAACACGUGGGUGAUCUGCCCUGCACUUCGGGAUAAGCCUGGGAAACUGGGUGUAAUACCGGAUAGGACUACAUUUUGUAGGGUGUGGUGGAAAGUUUUUCGGUGUGGGAUGAGCUCGCGGCCUAUCAGCGUGUUGGUGGGGUAAUGGCCUACCAAGGCGUCGACGGGUAGCCGGCCUGAGAGGGGGUACGGCCACAAUGGGACUGAGGUACGGGACAGAGUCCUAAGGGCGGCAGGAGGGGGGAAUAUUGCACAAUGGGCGCAAGCCUGAUGCAGCGACGCCGAGUGGGGGAUGACGGCUGUCGGGUUGUAGACUCCUAUGGCCAGGGACGAAGCGUGUUUGUGACGGUACCUGGAGAAGAAGCACCGGCUAACUACGUG
rnacentral:rRNA from 1 species